AAAGAUGACAGUAAUCAACAAACACAGCCGGAAUGAGAGGAAAAGCUUUAACUGGAUUCAGUCCUCCAUCCACUGUGCUCGGUCUUUCUGUCGCUCUGUGUCUGACUGACUAACGCUCCACUGGAUAAAGACUUAAUUGGCUCUGAACAGACAGCCAGAACAAUAAACAAGCAGAAUAAAUACAAAUGCAGUCAUGCUGGGAAGAGAGUGGGAGAAAAGAUGAGCUAAGAACAGUAACCUGUGGACAUAAAAACUGGACAUAUUUUGUCUUAAAUUUUCAUGUUUUUCUUCAAAAUCUGGUUGGAAUAUUUCUCAAAGAAGGAUUCCAUCUCCAAAUUUCAUGUGGACAUUAUGUUGUUUACAUUGUUUUUAUGUCAUGGAGCUUUUGACAGACGGAUUUUUUUUGCAACACUGCCAUACUUUGAUCACAAGAUUGUCCUGACUUCUCAUUAAAACAGAAGGAAUAUGCUUCAGUGUUUUACCAGGAAAGAAAAGCAAAUUUUUUUGACAGUUUGACAUUUCUCCAUUUCUUUUAUUUUGCCAUGGCCCUGUCUAAGCCAGCUGCCAUGCAUCUUCCACAUUCUGAAAUCAACAUUUUUCAGAAUUAGUAAAAUUAACAAAUUCACAAUUCGCUCUUCAAGCUUCAAACGUGCCUCCCACCAACCCUUCCCACCAUCAGCCAUCCAACCAAUCAUGGGCAAGCCUCUUAGCCGUCCCGGGUGUUUCAGGAAAAGCUCCUGCUGCCUGGAGAAACAUGGAGCUGGGGAUGGGGGAGUGGGAGGGCGAGCUGGGGGAAUGGAAGGGGGAUACGGAGACGGCUACGUACCCCAACGGUCCAUCUAUGAUACCAUGUGCAUCAAUCAACAGAUUGACAGCCAUCACCAUCACCCUGGAGGGUCCAUAAGGCGAGACUGUGGAGGUGAGGGAAGUUUCAGCUACUCUGCAAGCGGUUCCCUGAGGGUUAGCAGGUCUCCAGCUGACAUGUUUGAUGCACAGCCCCGCUCUUUAACUCCAAACCCCUCGUUUGUGCGGCGACUGGACGAAAGAACCAUCUAUGAUUCAUUGAAGCUUGGGAGUCAGGAUGCAGAUGGUGGCGGAUGCCAUUCUCCAGGACGUUUCACUCGAUCAGUUUCUCCCUCUGUGUCCUCGUUCUCAGCACCAGGAGUGUCCUCCUCCUCAUCCAAGAAACACCACCAUCACCACCACCAUCACCAUGGAGACAGCACAAAAAGCAGAGAUGGUCGACAUUCCUGGAAAGUCUUGACACCUCCAAAACACCUGGAGUGUCUAGAGCUUACUACAACUGAAAUGAUGGACAGAGGAGGCGGGUACCUGAACCCAGGGCACUACCCUCCUGGGGGCCAGUCCUCCUCUUUUACCUCCCCCCUCAUUUCCCCCUUCUCUGGUUCACCUCUCUCUUCGGGUUACCAUACUCCAGUUUUUUUCUCCCCUGCCAAACCUCGCCCCAGUCAGACUCAGAGUUUACGCUGCUCCCCUCCCCAGGUCAUCCAGCCAAGGCAUUACUCCCAAACCCAGAGCCUCAGGCUGUCACCACCACAGGAGCUUAGACGAUCCCCGUACCGUGCCCCGCUGGUCCAACUGUCUGCUCACGAUCUCGAGCAGGACCUGAGGGAUCGAGGAGGAGGAUGGGGCCGGAGUGAGCGAGAAAGGGAGUGGGAGAGGGAGAGAGAAAGGGAGAUGGAGAGAGGGUGGGCCCAGCGAGAGUGGGAAAGAGAGAGGGAAAGGGGGAGGCUGGAGAGGGAGAGGGCGAGAGAAAGGGAGAGGAGGGAAACCUCUUUUGGGACCUUUGGUUAUGGUCGACCAGUUCCUCUGCGUUCAGACAGAGACUCUGUGUUUUUAGAGUCCGACCAGGUUCUAGACACAACGCCCCUGUUGCACCCCCAGCCCUCACCUUCACCCUCCCCCAGUGCUGCCCCCAGAAUGGGCUGCGGAGCUGUGGGUAGGAAUAGAGCUGGGUCAAAGGUUGGCCCUGAAAGUGUAGGUGGCGUUAUGGUUUCAAAGUUUGACAAUGGAAGUGUGGGUUUGGUGUUAGUUGACAGUAAAUCUGGGUGUGGGCCAAGGUUAGUAAGUGAAGUUCCAUCUGGAAAAAUGUCAGAGGCAGAAAUCAGAGCUGGAAUGCAAGAACACCAUAGAACAGAAAGUUGGAACAAAUAUGACAACGGAUCCAGAGCUAGCAUUAAAAAUGGGUCUGAAACAAGAAUGGGCACCCAGGUCAAAACAAGACCAGGGGGACGGGAUUUGGAAGGAAAAGUGCAAUCUGGGAUGGAAAAUAUGGCUCCAGUUUUGAGCAAGGAGGGACACAGGGGAGGGACAAGGGGUGGAGAAAAAUCUGGAAGGGUUGUGGCUAAACCAGAACGUAUUGCUGAGGCUAUACCUUCAACUGUGAUUGACACUGAGAAUAAGGUUGAGACUGGAGAUAAAGUUGAGAUAGGAGCUGGAUCUGGUCUGGGGAUGAAGUCAGAGAUUGAAGCAGGGGUUGAAUCUAAAACUAGUUCAAGGCAGGUGGAGAACAGGACUGGAACAGAUGGAGGUGCAGCAAAAGUUAUUAAUAAUGAUGUUGGUUUAGCAGCAGAGUCCAGAGUAGAAGCUAAAGUUGAGACAGAAGUUAAGAUUGCUCCUACAUCUGAGCCUGAAGCAGUACCAAAAACUAGGGUUAGUAAUGAGACAGGGACUAAGAGUAACACUGAGACUGGAGUUGAAAGCCAGAACAACAGCAAGACAAAAGAUGAAGCUCAGAUAAGUGUUGUGGCUGGGGAUAAAACGGAUACAGCCCCUGCAAAGCAAGCUGAGAAAAAUACUUUGGACAUGGAUAAAAUAGAAUCUACCCAUGUAGAGAAAGGUUCCAGGUCCCAUAAAUCCAAAUCAUCCAAGUCCAGCUCCAGGACUCGACCUGGCACGGCCACAGGGCUCCGACCAGGUGUAGUCAGCCCUCGACUAAGCAGAGGGCUUGGGGACCUUGAGUCAACAGGCCCCACUGAGGGCAUUGAGUCCACCUGGCCUCGCCGAAUCAUGGUCAGAAAGAGGACUGUUCGGCAGGGUGGGGCACUCCACAACCUCCCUAUUCUCCCCCCACUCCCCUCUGUCCUCUCAGCAUUGGAGAAGAGGCGCCCACAUGCCCACCUCCACCCCCGUCAAGGCUUCUCAGAGAACGUGCUAACAAAUGUAAUUAAUGCCACAAGUAUUGUGGGACGAUGCUCACUUAAAGAGCCCCCCCAUCCUGAACCAGGACAGGGGGCCAAUUUGGUGGGCAGGGCUUCCCUGAAGGAGCAGAACUUGGAACACUGGAGGGUCUGCAGAGAGCAGGAAGAACACAAGAGAUCCAGGAGCAAGGAGAAACAAGGAGAGAACAGUAAUGAGAAGACUGAGAUGGAGGAGAGGAAGGGGAAUGAAGAGAAGAGAGAAAAGGAGAGGAGAGAAGAGAAAGACAAAAGAGAGGAGAACGUGGGUAAGGAGAAAGAGAAGGUAACUGUUAAUGAGGGGCUGGUGGAGGAAAUCAAACAAGAAAAAUCAAAGAGAAACUUUGAAGGGAAAGUGCAAGAGGAUGGUAACAAAAAAGAUGUUAUGAAAAAGGAAAAGCAUGUAGAAAUAAAGUGCGAAAAGGUAGAAGAUAGAGGGAUGAAGAUUAAGGAUGGAAUACAAGAGCAGCAUGGACAAGAGUUUGAGGAGGUGGUGGCUAAAUUAAAGAAAGAAGAAGGUGAGGUGGAGGGAGGAGACGGAGGGACAUUUGGAGAGGAAGGGGGGAUGGAGAGUUGGGAUUCUGUCCUUGAGAUGGUCACCACAUUGUGGGACGACGGCUGGGAGAAAGGGGGAGCAGGAGGAGUGGGUGAUACAGAUUCCUUCUCAGGCUCCCUGCAACGUUGGCCUCUCCUCCGGCCCCCGAUUGGCUUUGGGGGCUCCCACCCCCCCUCCUCAGCAGCCUCGGAGCUCAGCCUGACAGAGUUAGAAAGGAGAGCCAGGGAGCUUGACUCUGACCUGGAGCACCUAGACCUGUCUCAGCCCCAUAGGGACACCCAGGCUUUAUACCAAACACUGCUGGAGCCACAGAGAGAACGGGCUGACAUGUACCAAACACACCCUGGGCCGCAGAGGGAGAAAGCUGCUCUCAUGACAGGAGUGGGGAGCAGAUCCCAGGUCAGUUUGGAGCUCAGUGCUAUGGCCUCCCCAGCUACAGACACAGACAGACCUCCUGUUGACUGGUCAACCAAAUCUACUGGGACAUCCACUGUUGGCACAAGCUACACUAAGGAGGACAGCUCUCCAGACUCGAACCUCACGCUGGAGUCCGACUCCAGUGGCGUCUUCCUCUCCUUAUCCAAUCAGAGCCAGGAAGAGGCCGGCUCUGACAGCGACCAACCAAUCAGUGGCUCCGACCUAGGCAGCAGCAGUACGUCACUGGAGAAAGACGGGGACGAAGGAGGGUUGAAGGAAUGGGGUAGGGAGGAGAGUGCAGAGCUGCAAUGGUGCUACCCAUCACUCCUCAACACCUCCAUGCAUGAAGACAUAGAAGGAGAUGGUGAAAGAGAGGAAGCAGGGUGUGGAAAUAUGGGGGGAGAUGAAGAGAGAUGGAAAGAUGAGAAUGGAAGGAGAGUUGGAAAAAUAGGAACGGUUUCAGUCAUUAAGUCCCCACACGACCAUGCAGAUAUUGAGGGCCCCAUGACCCUAAAUGCUCCACAAAGUGAAGAAAUUCCACCUAGGAAAAAGGUGACCCUCAUGGGAAGUGACUCCCCUCUUCCUCUGUCUCCCUCAAAACAACCAAUCAAACACUUUCUAGAUCCUAAUCAGAAGCCAAUCAGAAGCUCAGGACUAGACUGUGGUGACUUAGAUCCUUUUGUUCAAUCAGACAGCUUUGUUUACCUUGCUGUGUCUGCAAGACCUGCCUCCCAGGGUGAAGUCACCACAAUGUCUGAAGUUCCCAUCCGCGAUACAAAACAAGACAGUGUACAGCAACACUUGGAUAGCAUGAAAACACACUUGGGCCAGUCAAAACGGGACGCCAAGCCGACUCCCCUGGCCCCACAAAAACCAGAGGAAGGAGACUUUCUGUGCACUGACAGCUUUGUCUACCUGGCUGCUCCAGCAUGCCUCUUACUGGGCCCUGCAGGAACCACAUCCUACAGUGGCAGGGACUCAGACUCGGAAAGUUCAGGAUCUGGCCCUGUUGAUCUGUCAGUGCUGGGUUGUGGCUCGGUGGCAGGGGACAGUGACUGGGACUCGGACCUGUCUGACUCCGAUCCCAGUCGCUCCUCCAGAUUCUCUGCUGCUGGCAACAAAUGUGCCAGCGUAGCACGGCCCAAGCGGCUGCCUGCUGAACUGGGCUGGGACUUGUUUGGAGAAACCACCGAGCCUGAAGUGCUGAGUGAGCUCUUCAGGGAACAGGACAAAAACAACAAUGGCAAAGCAAGGAAGGUUACAGGGGUUACCACUAGCAUGGCAGCAACACAGGCCAUUCCCAUGGCAACUCAGCCUGUCACUACGCCACUGAAGCGGGAGGCAACAGUAGAGCAGUCGUCAACAUCGAAGAAGGUGACAUGGCAGUUUAAACCAGCCCAGAGGUCAGUCUGCACAGGAAGCAGGAAGGAGAAAGACAAGGAAGUGACAUCAUCAUCAUUGGCAAGGUUCACAGAACUGGAAGGCGAGACCCAUAGGCCCUCCCCUUCAUCUUCAUCGUCUUCAUCAUCGUCACCAUCGUCAUCCUCUUCUGGUUGAUAUGUGAAGGAAAUUGUUUUUGUCCAACCAUUUGGGAGAAUCUGUCAUUGCCUGAAACGGAGUUGGUUGCAGAAAG
ensembl:lncRNA